rnacentral:snoRNA from 1 species
AAGAUCGUACUUCUAGGGAUCACUCCUAUAGUACGCAUCACCAAGACGCCAGUCAAAACUGGUUCUGACUACCCAACCGUGA